rnacentral:rRNA from 1 species
UGGGGAAUAUUGCGCAAUGGGGGAAACCCUGACGCAGCGACGCCGCGUGAGUGAUGAAGGCUUUCGGGUCGUAAAGCUCUGUUAUAAGGGACGAAGAACUGCGGGAAUAAUACGCCUGCAGCGUGACGGUACCUUAGGAGGAAGCCCCGGCUAACUACGUGCCAGCAGCCGCGGUAAGACGUAGGGGGCGAGCGUUGUCCGGAAUUACUGGGCGUAAAGCGCGUGUAGGCGGUUAGGAGAGUUGGAUGUGAAAGCUCCCGGCUUAACUGGGAGAGGUCGUUCAAAACUUCCUGACUAGAGUUUGGUGGAGGAAAAUGGAAUUCCGGGUGUAGUGGUGAAAUGCGUAGAUAUCCGGAGGAACACCAGUGGCGAAAGCGAUUUUCUGGACCGAUACUGACGCUCAGACGCGAAAGCUAGGGUAGCAAACGG